rnacentral:rRNA from 1 species
CGUUGAUAGGAUGCAGGUGUAAAGGUAGAGAUACCAAAGCCGAGCAUUACUAAUUGCCCGUCCACUUUCCUUA